UACGUAGGCAGCGAGCGUUGUUCGGAAUUAUUGGGCGUAAAGAGCGUGUAGGCGGCCAGGCAGGUCGGUUGUGAAAACUGGAGGCUUAACCUCCAGACGUCGACCGAAACCAUCUGGCUAGAGUCCGGAAGAGGAGAGUGGAAUUCCUGGUGUAGCGGUGAAAUGCGCAGAUAUCAGGAAGAACACCCGUGGCUAAGGCGGCUCUCUAGUACGGUACUGACGCUGAGACGCGAAAGCGUGGGGAGCGAACAGG
rnacentral:rRNA from 1 species